rnacentral:rRNA from 1 species
AGUGAGCGCUGGCGGUAGGCCUAACACAUGCAAGUCGAACGGCAGCACAGUAAGAGCUUGCUCUUACGGGUGGCGAGUGGCGGACGGGUGAGGAAUACAUCGGAAUCUACUUUUUCGUGGGGGAUAACGUAGGGAAACUUACGCUAAUACCGCAUACGACCUACGGGUGAAAGCAGGGGAUCUUCGGACCUUGCGCGAUUGAAUGAGCCGAUGUCGGAUUAGCUAGUUGGCGGGGUAAAGGCCCACCGAGGCGACGAUCCGUAGCUGGUCUGAGAGGAUGAUCAGCCACACUGGAACUGAGACACGGUCCAGACUCCUACGGGAGGCAGCAGUGGGGAAUAUUGGACAAUGGGCGCAAGCCUGAUCCAGCCAUACCGCGUGGGUGAAGAAGGCCUUCGGGUUGUAAAGCCCUUUUGUUGGGAAAGAAAAGCAGCAGGUUAAUACCCCGCUGUUCUGACGGUACCCAAAGAAUAAGCACCGGCUAACUUCGUG